GACACAGAUUGCCACGUUGAUUACAAAAUGU
rnacentral:piRNA from 1 species